rnacentral:rRNA from 1 species
ACUUUCAACAACGGAUCUCUUGGUUCUGGCAUCGAUGAAGAACGCAGCGAAAUGCGAUAAGCUAAUGUGAAUUGCAGAAUUCAGGCUGAAUCAUCGAAGUCUUUGAACGCACAUUGCACCCGCGUGCUCGGCUAACUGUUGACUCUGAGCCCACGGCGAUCGAUG